AUUGAACGCUGGCGGCAUGCUUUACACAUGCAAGUCGAACGGUAACAGGCCUUCGGGUGCUGACGAGUGGCGAACGGGUGAGUAAUGCAUCGGAACGUGCCCAGAGGUGGGGGAUAACGCAGCGAAAGCUGUGCUAAUACCGCAUGUGAUCUGAGGAUGAAAGCGGGGGACCAGGCAGCAAUGUUUGGCCUCGCGCCUUUGGAGCGGCCGAUGUCAGAUUAGGUAGUUGGUGGGGUAAAGGCCUACCAAGCCGACGAUCUGUAGCUGGUCUGAGAGGACGACCAGCCACACUGGGACUGAGACACGGCCCAGACUCCUACGGGAGGCAGCAGUGGGGAAUUUUGGACAAUGGGCGCAAGCCUGAUCCAGCAAUGCCGCGUGCGGGAAGAAGGCCUUCGGGUUGUAAACCGCUUUUGUAAGGAACGAAAAGGCUCUGGCUAAUACCUGGGGCUGAUGACGGUACCGGAAGAAUAAGCACCGGCUAACUACGUG
rnacentral:rRNA from 1 species